rnacentral:sRNA from 1 species
GUGGCGUGGUCGCCGAGGCACUUUACGC